CACACUUAGGAUGCUGGUGGAAUGGCUUUAAACGACCCGUCUUGUAACACGGACCAAGGAGUCUAACAUGCUUGCGAGUAUUUGGGUGUCAAACCCGGAUGCGCAAUGAAAGUGAAUGAAGGUGGGAUCCGCAAGGUGCACCAUCGACCGAUCUGGAUUUUUUAAGAUGGAUUUGAGUAAGAGCAAUUAUGUUGGGACCCGAAAGAUGGUG
rnacentral:rRNA from 11 species